rnacentral:rRNA from 1 species
GCAUAACACAUGCAAGUCGAACGCUGUACGAUACUUCGGUGUCGUACGGAGUGGCGAACGGGUGAGGAACACGUAAGAAUCUGCCCCUCGGUUGGGGAUAACUUCUGGAAACGGGAGCUAAUACCCAAUAUGCUGUGGAGUGAAAGAAUUUCGCCGAAAGACGAUCUUGCGUCUGAUUAGCUAGUUGGGGUGGUAAUGGCACACCAAGGCGACGAUCAGUAGCUGGUCUGAGAGGACGAUCAGCCACACUGGGACUGAGACACGGCCCAGACUCC